GGGGAUGUAGCUCAGUGGUAGAGCACAUGCUGUGCAUGUAUGAGGUGCUGGGUUCAAUCCACAGCAUCUCCA
rfam:Danio rerio chromosome 21, GRCz11 reference primary assembly.